rnacentral:rRNA from 1 species
AGGACUAACGCUGGCGGCGUGCCUAACACAUGCAAGUCGAACGAGGGGUAGCAAUACCCCUAGUGGCAGACGGGUGAGUAACACGUAGUCAACCUACCUCUUAAUGGGGGAUAACUAGCCGAAAGGUUAGCUAAUACCGCAUACGAUCGUCGAGUGGCAUCACACGACGAUGAAAGGAGCAAUCCGUUGAGAGAGGGGACUGCGUCCCAUUAGUUAGUUGGUGGGGUAAUGGCCUACCAAGACUCCGAUGGGUAGCUGGCUUGAGAGAGCGACCAGCCACACUGGAACUGAGACACGGUCCAGACUCCUACGGGAGGCAGCAGUGAGGAAUUUUCCGCAAUGGGGGAAACCCUGACGGAGCGACGCCGCGUGUGGGAAGAAGGCCUUCGGGUCGUAAACCGACUGUCGAGGGGGACGAUAUUGACGGUACCCCUGGAGGAAGCCCCGGCUAACUACGUGCCAGCAGCCGC